GACGAACGCUGGCGGCACGCUUAACACAUGCAAGUCGAACGAGAGAAGAGAAGCUUGCUUUUCUGAUCUAGUGGCGGACGGGUGAGUAACACGUGAGCAAUCUGCCUUUCAGAGGGGGAUACCGAUUGGAAACGAUCGUUAAUACCGCAUAAUAUAAUUGAACCGCAUGAUUUGAUUAUCAAAGAUUUAUCGCUGAAAGAUGAGCUCGCGUCUGAUUAGCUAGUUGGUGAGGUAACGGCUUACCAAGGCGACGAUCAGUAGCCGGACUGAGAGGUUGAUCGGCCACAUUGGGACUGAGACACGGCCCAGACUCCUACGGGAGGCAGCAGUGGGGAAUAUUGCACAAUGGAGGAAACUCUGAUGCAGCGAUGCCGCGUGAGGGAAGAAGGUUUUAGGAUUGUAAACCUCUGUCUUCAGGGACGAAAAAAGACGGUACCUGAGGAGGAAGCUCCGGCUAACUACGUGCCAGCAGCCGCGGUAAUACGUAGGGAGCGAGCGUUGUCCGGAAUUACUGGGUGUAAAGGGAGCGUAGGCGGGAUCGCAAGUCAGAUGUGAAAACUAUGGGCUUAACCCAUAAACUGCAUUUGAAACUGUGGUUCUUGAGUGAAGUAGAGGUAAGCGGAAUUCCUAGUGUAGCGGUGAAAUGCGUAGAUAUUAGGAGGAACAUCAGUGGCGAAGGCGGCUUACUGGGCUUUAACUGACGCUGAGGCUCGAAAGCGUGGGGAGCAAACAGGAUUAGAUACCCUGGUAGUCCACGCCGUAAACGAUGAUUACUAGGUGUGGGGGGACUGACCCCUUCCGUGCCGCAGCAAACGCAAUAAGUAAUCCACCUGGGGAGUACGACCGCAAGGUUGAAACUCAAAGGAAUUGACGGGGGCCCGCACAAGCAGUGGAGUAUGUGGAUUAAUUCGAAGCAACGCGAAGAACCUUACCAGGUCUUGACAUCGUAUGCAUAGCUCAGAGAUGAGUGAAAUCUCUUCGGAGACAUAUAGACAGGUGGUGCAUGGUUGUCGUCAGCUCGUGUCGUGAGAUGUUGGGUUAAGUCCCGCAACGAGCGCAACCCUUACUGUUAGUUGCUACGCAAGAGCACUCUAGCAGGACUGCCGUUGACAAAACGGAGGAAGGUGGGGAUGACGUCAAAUCAUCAUGCCCCUUAUGACCUGGGCCUCACACGUACUACAAUGGCUGUCAACAGAGGGAAGCAAAGCCGCGAGGUGGAGCGAACCCCUAAAAGCAGUCUUAGUUCGGAUUGUAGGCUGCAACCCGCCUACAUGAAGUCGGAAUUGCUAGUAAUCGCAGAUCAGCAUGCUGCGGUGAAUACGUUCCCGGGCCUUGUACACACCGCCCGUCACGCCAUGGGAGUCGGUAACACCCGAAGCCUGUAGUCUAACCGCAAGGAGGACGCAGUCGAAGGUGGGAUUGAUGACUGGGGUG
rnacentral:rRNA from 1 species